ensembl:lncRNA GALNT7-DT GALNT7 divergent transcript
GGCUGGUCUCGAACUCCUGAGCUCAGGCAAUCUGCCUCGUACUCCCAAAGUGCUAGGAUUACAGCUGUGAGCCACCACACCUAGGCUAUCCUAAGUUUUAAGAUGGUAACAGCUGAUUCUUUUUUCUCGUACUGUCUCACAUCUGCAAGUUUUUUGCUUUAAAACAAAGCUCAGUUAUGUAAAGUUUUACAGUGAAACAAUUUCAAUUAUCAAGAUAGAUAAAGAAUUAUACCAAACUACCUUCAUGUGCUUUUUGGCUUGGCUUACAAUAGCUAGUAUAUCAGGGAGUUCUGUAGAUGCCAUAAUUUCAAAAUUUCCACAAAAUAUCUGAAGUGAUAUCCUCAUGAACAGCAUGGUUCCGGAAAUGUAGAAUGGAUUGUAGUUAGGUGUAUUAUUGGUUGGCUGAAGGACUGUACAUCAUAUUGUAUAAAAGUCCACUAUAUAGAGUACCUGGAAGAGGGACUGUCAAGUGUUAAACACAAAUCACUGCUUGACUUAGCAUUUAUAUCAGCCCCUUAGGUUAAAACCAGUUGUUUUAAGUAGAAGAUGAGAGAUUUUGCCUAAGACCAUUUUUUUUGUGUGACAGAGAUCUAGAGUGUGUAAUUCACGAAGUAUGAAUCUGCUGGGUAAUGUGAUAUGAAAAGCGAAUGCACCAUUUCUUGGUGAUGAUUCAGGUCAGCGUUGGGACCCAGGAAUCUCCUGUUAAUCAGUACCCUGGUGAUUUUGAUCCAGGUCAUCAAGACCAUGGCUUCCAUCGUAGGCAGUCACACUCUUUCUCUCUUGGAUCAUUUGCUGUGGGGAAGCAAACUGUCAUAUGAGAGGACACUCAAACAGCCUCUGGAGUCUCAUUUGCUAAGGAACUGAGGACUCCAGCCUGAGAACUCAGGCAAGUAACUGAGGCCUGCCAACAACCAUGGAGAAAGCCUGGAAGUGGAUCCUCCCUCAGCCUUCAGUCGAGACAACAGCUGCAAUGACAGCCAAGCCAGCGCCACCCAGCUUAGCCACCCCCAGAGAACUAACUCUCAGAAACCAUGUAAGAUAAUACAUGUUUGUUGUUUUAAGCUGCUAAGUUUUGGGGUAAUUUAUUAUACAAUAGAUAAUUAAAACACAUAGCAUAUAAAUAAAAUCAAUAAAACCAGUAUGGGUC